UUCAUAUCGAGGCUUAAAAGCGAAGAGAAAGGCAUUCGAGGAAAUGCGGAAGUAGCUGAACAUGCGAGAAAUGAAGAACACACAUAUGGAAACAUUACUGGGAAGGAGAGGAAACAGAUAAUUUCAGUGAAGAAUGCAUCAGCCGUAGUGAACAUCGAUGACGAACAAACAGACGAGCGAGUUGAUGAUUCAGCAACCAAAACUGACGAGCGAGUUGAUGAUUUAGCAACCAAAACUGACGAGACCCAUUACAACAUGGAACAAAAUAACCACAGAGUGAACGUGGACAAUCUACUUACGUAUGUUACUAAGAAACACGUUGGUGCAUUUGAAAACGAAUUCAAGAAACUAAUAACAGUUUAGAUUUGAAAGAGAGUUGCAGCUUUGCUAGAAAGCCCGAAAAUGUAGCAUUGAACAGGUAUAAUGGGAUAUACCCCUAUAACCAUUCUAGAGUGACUGUCCCAGGUCAACCGGCAUUUUACAUCAAUGCUUGUUACAUCGAUGGUUACAACAAAAGGAAAGCCUGUAUUGCCUCUUCAGGUCCUACUGCAAAGACUACCGAUACUUUCUCUACAUUCUGGAGUAUGGUUUGGAAUGAGAAAUCUGACAUCAUUGUUAUGUUGACAAAUCUCCACGAACCUUCGGGCAAGAAGUGUGAAAAGUACUGGCCAGAAUCGGAG
rnacentral:lncRNA from 1 species